UGCUGGAGGUAUCAGAAGUGCGAAUGCUGACAUAAGUAACGAUAAAGCGGGUGAAAAGCCCGCUCGCCGGAAGACCAAGGGUUCCUGUCCAACGUUAAUCGGGGCAGGGUGAGUCGACCCCUAAGGCGAGGCCGAAAGGCGUAGUCGAUGGGAAACGGGUUAAUAUUCCCGUACUUGGUGUUACUGCGAAGGGGGGACGGAGAAGGCUAUGUUGGCCGGGCGACGGUUGUCCCGGUUUAAGCGUGUAGGUGUGUGUUCCAGGUAAAUCCGGUUCACUUUAACACUGAGGCGUGACGACGAGGCACUACGGUGCUGAAGCAACAAAUGCCCUGCUUCCAGGAAAAGCCUCUAAGCAUCAGGUAACAUCAAAUCGUACCCCAAACCGACACAGGUGGUCAGGUAGAGAAUACCAAGGCGCUUGAGAGAACUCGGGUGAAGGAACUAGGCAAAAUGGUGCCGUAACUUCGGGAGAAGGCACGCUGACACGUAGGUGAAGUGAUUUACUCAUGGAGCUGAAGUCAGUCGAAGAUACCAGCUGGCUGCAACUGUUUAUUAAAAACACAGCACUGUGCAAACACGAAAGUGGACGUAUACGGUGUGACGCCUGCCCGGUGCCGGAAGGUUAAUUGAUGGGGUCAGCGUAAGCGAAGCUCCUGAUCGAAGCCCCGGUAAACGGCGGCCGUAACUAUAACGGUCCUAAGGUAGCGAAAUUCCUUGUCGGGUAAGUUCCGACCUGCACGAAUGGCGUAAUGAUGGCCAGGCUGUCUCCACCCGAGACUCAGUGAAAUUGAACUCGCUGUGAAGAUGCAGUGUACCCGCGGCAAGACGGAAAGACCCCGUGAACCUUUACUAUAGCUUGACACUGAACAUUGAGCCUUGAUGUGUAGGAUAGGUGGGAGGCUUUGAAGUGUGGACGCCAGUCUGCAUGGAGCCGACCUUGAAAUACCACCCUUUAAUGUUUGAUGUUCUAACGUGGACCCGUAAUCCGGGUUGCGGACAGUGUCUGGUGGGUAGUUUGACUGGGGCGGUCUCCUCCUAAAGAGUAACGGAGGAGCACGAAGGUUGGCUAAUCCUGGUCGGACAUCAGGAGGUUAGUGCAAUGGCAUAAGCCAGCUUGACUGCGAGCGUGACGGCGCGAGCAGGUGCGAAAGCAGGUCAUAGUGAUCCGGUGGUUCUGAAUGGAAGGGCCAUCGCUCAACGGAUAAAAGGUACUCCGGGGAUAACAGGCUGAUACCGCCCAAGAGUUCAUAUCGACGGCGGUGUUUGGCACCUCGAUGUCGGCUCAUCACAUCCUGGGGCUGAAGUAGGUCCCAAGGGUAUGGCUGUUCGCCAUUUAAAGUGGUACGCGAGCUGGGUUUAGAACGUCGUGAGACAGUUCGGUCCCUAUCUGCCGUGGGCGCUGGAGAACUGAGGGGGGCUGCUCCUAGUACGAGAGGACCGGAGUGGACGCAUCACUGGUGUUCGGGUUGUCAUGCCAAUGGCACUGCCCGGUAGCUAAAUGCGGAAGAGAUAAGUGCUGAAAGCAUCUAAGCACGAAACUUGCCCCGAGAUGAGUUCUCCCUGAGACUU
rnacentral:rRNA from 1 species